GACGAACGCUGGCGGCGUGCUUAACACAUGCAAGUCGAACGGAAAGGCCCUGCUUUUGUGGUGUGCUCGAGUGGCGAAAGGGUGAGUAACACGAGAGUAACCUGCCCUUGACUUUGGGAUAACUUCAGGAAACUGGGGCUAAUACCGGAUAGGAGCUCCUGUUGCAUGGAGGGGGUUGGAAAGUUUCGGCGGUUGGGGAUGGACUCGCGGCUUAUCAGCUUGUUGGUUGGGUAGGGGCUUACCAAGGCUGUGACGGGUAGCCGGCAUGGGAGGGGGACCGGCGACAUUAGGGCUGAGAGACGGACCAGACUCCUACGUGAGGCAACGGUCGUAAGUAUUACACAGUGGUCCGAAGUGUGAUGCAACAGCUUCCCGUGCGGGAAGUCGGCCUUCGGGUUGUAAACCGCAUUCGGCUGUGACGAAGCGUGAUUGACGGUAAUGGAUAAAGAAGCACCGGCUAACUACGUG
rnacentral:rRNA from 1 species